CUCGCCGAGGUGGGCUCCUGCGAGGCCUAGCGGGGGCGGGGCCUGGGGCCGGGCUCGAGCCGGGGCGCCCCUCCCCGCCUCCGCCUCCGCCUCCGCCUCCGCCCUCGCCCAGUGCUCUGGCGGCUCGGGCCUGGUCAACGCGAGCUCGGGGCUGGGUAGCCCGCGCCACCGUCAGGUUGCUAGGAUGAUUAUACAGAUCUCUCAGAUAUAGGGAAAAAAUUCAGCCACCUCACCCAGAUUCUGCAAUCCCUACGAGGCUGCAUCUGAAAUACUGAAGAGUCUGGGAGAUCAAAGCAACCUGAAUUUUACAAUAGCAUCUUGUGAAAGAAGAGGCGGAGGGAAAGCCACAGUAGUUUCAGUAAAUAAUGGGCUUUGAUGUCUCCAACUUGAAAUCCAUAUUUUGAGAGCCCUGAUGUAUCUAAUAGUAUU